rnacentral:rRNA from 1 species
GACGAACGCUGGCGGCGUGCUUAACACAUGCAAGUCGAGCGGUAAGGCCCUUUCGGGGGUACACGAGCGGCGAACGGGUGAGUAACACGUGAGUGACCUGCCCUCAGCUCUGGGAUAAGCCUGGGAAACCGGGUCUAAUACCGGAUAUGACUCCAUGACGCAUGUUGUGGGGUGGAAAGCCUUGUGCGGCUGAGGAUGGGCCCGCGGCCUAUCAGCUUGUUGGGGGGUGAUGGCCUACCAAGGCGACGACGGGUAGCCGGCCUGAGAGGGCGACCGGCCACACUGGGACUGAGACACGGCCCAGACUCCUACGGGAGGCAGCAGUGGGGAAUCUUGCGCAAUGGGCGAAAGCCUGACGCAGCGACGCCGCGUGAGGGAUGACGG